rnacentral:siRNA from 1 species
UAACCAGGUUGGACCAUAAGUCA